rnacentral:tRNA from 2 species
GCCCGGAUGGCGAAAUUGGUAGACGCAAGGGACUUAAAAUCCCUCGCUUGAAAGAGCGUGCCGGUUCGAUUCCGGCUCCGGGCACCA